rnacentral:rRNA from 1 species
CUCGUAGGCGGUUCGUCGCGUCCGGUGUGAAAGUCCAUCGCUUAACGGUGGAUCUGCGCCGGGUACGGGCGGGCUGGAGUGCGGUAGGGGAGACUGGAAUUCCCGGUGUAACGGUGGAAUGUGUAGAUAUCGGGAAGAACACCAAUGGCGAAGGCAGGUCUCUGGGCCGUUACUGACGCUGAGGAGCGAAAGCGUGGGGAGCGAACAA